ACCAGCACCGCCGCCCACCUGCGCAGCUGCCACAGAGGUGACCACCACCGCUCGCAGGGCCUGCGCCGUCCGCUUCGGCCGUCGGCACGUUGUCUUUCGCCACUCCGGCCUCUUCUGUUGUUUCCGUCUUCCUCCGCCUCUAUUGCUUCUGCUAGUGGUGGUGCAGCUCCCGAUCUUCGUCCAGGUGGCCCCAAUCUUCUUAUUCGUCCAGGUGACCCCGGCUCUGCUGCUGUUGAAGCCUACAACAUCUGAACCGUACAGUGCCAGCUAGCUCAAACAAGAUGCAAAUCAACAUAUUGUGGACUAUAUUUCUACAGUUGUAUGGAACAAGGGAGCUAGGAUGAUUAUGCAUGUACUAAUUCAGUCACUGAUCAUGUACUGAUUGCCAAUAAAUGUAUUACUGGCAAUAAUUUGAUGCCAACCUACAUGAGUUACCAAUUUUCUACUGAUUAAGUUGGAAUUAUUUGAUGCCAGUAUGCACAGCAAAGAAGACAUCUAAAUCA